rnacentral:rRNA from 1 species
GACGAACGCUGGCGGCGUGCCUAAUACAUGCAAGUUGAGCGAUGAAGAUUGGUGCUUGCACCAAUUUGAAGAGCAGCGAACGGGUGAGUAACGCGUGGGGAAUCUGCCUUUGAGCGGGGGACAACAUUUGGAAACGAAUGCUAAUACCGCAUAAUAACUUUAAACAUAAGUUUUAAGUUUGAAAGAUGCAAUUGCAUCACUCAAAGAUGAUCCCGCGUUGUAUUAGCUAGUUGGUGAGGUAAAGGCUCACCAAGGCGAUGAUACAUAGCCGACCUGAGAGGGUGCUCGGCCACAUUGGGACUGAGACCCGCCCCAAACUCCCACGGGAGGCAGCAGUAGGGAAUCUUCGGCAAUGGACGGAAGUCUGACCGAGCAACGCCGCGUGAGUGAAGAAGGUUUUCGGAUCGUAAAACUCUGUUGGUAGAGAAGAACGUUGGUGAGAGUGGAAAGCUCAUCAAGUGACGGUAACUACCCAGAAAGGGACGGCUAACUACGUG